rnacentral:rRNA from 1 species
GUGACUGCGUACCUUUUGUAUAAUGGGUCAGCGACUUAUAUUCUGUAGCAAGGUUAACCGUAUAGGGGAGCCGAAGGGAAACCGAGUCUUAACUGGGCGUUAAGUUGCAGGGUAUAGACCCGAAACCCGGUGAUCUAGCCAUGGGCAGGUUGAAGGUUGGGUAACACUAACUGGAGGACCGAACCGACUAAUGUUGAAAAAUUAGCGGAUGACCUGUGGCUGGGGGUGAAAGGCCAAUCAAACCGGGAGAUAGCUGGUUCUCCCCGAAAGCUAUUUAGGUAGCGCCUCGUGAACUCAUCUUCGGGGGUAGAGCACUGUUUCGGCUAGGGGGCCAUCCCGGCUUACCAACCCGAUGCAAACUACGAAUACCGAAGAAUGUUAUCACGGGAGACACACGGCGGGUGCUAACGUCCGUCGUGAAGAGGGAAACAACCCAGACCGCCAGCUAAGGUCCCAAAGUCAUGGUUAAGUGGGAAACGAUGUGGGAAGGCACAGACAGCCAGGAUGUUGGCUUAGAAGCAGCCAUCAUUUAAAGAAAGCGUAAUAGCUCACUGGUCGAGUCGGCCUGCGCGGAAGAUGUAACGGGGCUAAACCAUGCACCGAAGCUGCGGCAGCGACACUAUGUGUUGUUGGGUAGGGGAGCGUUCUGUAAGCCGUUGAAGGUGUGCUGUGAGGCAUGCUGGAGGUAUCAGAAGUGCGAAUGCUGACAUAAGUAACGAUAAAGCGGGUGAAAAGCCCGCUCGCCGGAAGACCAAGGGUUCCUGUCCAACGUUAAUCGGGGCAGGGUGAGUCGACCCCUAAGGCGAGGCCGAAAGGCGUAGUCGAUGGGAAACAGGUUAAUAUUCCUGUACUUGGUGUUACUGCGAAGGGGGGACGGAGAAGGCUAUGUCAGCCGGGCGACGGUUGUCCCGGUUUAAGCAUGUAGGCGGAGGUUCCAGGUAAAUCCGGUACCUUAUUAACGCUGAGGUGUGAUGACGAGGCACUACGGUGCUGAAGUGAUAAAUGCCCUGCUUCCAGGAAAAGCCUCUAAGCAUCAGGUAACACGAAAUCGUACCCCAAACCGACACAGGUGGUCAGGUAGAGAAUACCAAGGCGCUUGAGAGAACUCGGGUGAAGGAACUAGGCAAAAUGGUGCCGUAACUUCGGGAGAAGGCACGCUGAUAUGUAGGUGAAGCCCCUGCGGGUGGAGCUGAAAUCAGUCGAAGAUACCAGCUGGCUGCAACUGUUUAUUAAAAACACAGCACUGUGCAAACACGAAAGUGGACGUAUACGGUGUGACGCCUGCCCGGUGCCGGAAGGUUAAUUGAUGGGGUUAGCGGCAACGCGAAGCUCUUGAUCGAAGCCCCGGUAAACGGCGGCCGUAACUAUAACGGUCCUAAGGUAGCGAAAUUCCUUGUCGGGUAAGUUCCGACCUGCACGAAUGGCGUAAUGAUGGCCAGGCUGUCUCCACCCGAGACUCAGUGAAAUUGAACUCGCUGUGAAGAUGCAGUGUACCCGCGGCAAGACGGAAAGACCCCGUGAACCUUUACUAUAGCUUGACACUGAACACUGGUCCUUGAUGUGUAGGAUAGGUGGGAGGCUUUGAAGCGUGGACGCCAGUCUGCGUGGAGCC